rnacentral:lncRNA from 1 species
UUUUUUUUUUUUUUUUUAGAUGGAGUCCUGCUCUGUCGCCCAGGCUGGAGUGCAGUGGCACGAUCUCGGCUCACUGCAAGCUCCGCCUCCCGGGUUCACACCAUUCUCCUGCCUCAGUAUCCAGAGUAGCUGGGACUAUAAGCAUACAACCCUAUUUCUGAAGUAAAUCCUACUGCUUUCCCAUUUAACAGAUAAGAAAGCUGGGGCUCAGAGAUGGUAAGUGAUCUGUGUACAGUCACACAGCUCCAAAGUGGAAGAGUCAGAAUUCAAACCCAGGCAGUGUGGCUCCGACCCGGCCCUUGCACCCUGGCUCCAGCGAGCCCUUGUGAGUGCCCAGGGAAGAGGGCAGGAGCAGGCUUUGAUGGUUCCCCAGCCUGUGCAGGUCAGGACUCCAACCCAGACCCUAUCGGUGCCUCUGCUCCUAGUUUGUAGGUGCUACCUGCAAAUUAGCUAAACAUUAUGGAAAAACCCGUGUCUUGGCCAAGAUAUGGCUCAUUAAUGCACGUUUAUACAAAUCAUGACAAUUUCUUCAGACAGAGACUUGAAAUGCCUUCCCUGCAGAAGUUGGUCACAGAGAUCACCAAAAAUAGCAACCGGCUCAAGGCAGUAGCUUGGUAAAUGCCACUGACAAUCUGGGGUUUAUUCCUCCUCCCAGAGCCAAUGCUGGUGCUCACAGUGGUCUCUCCAGGGACCAGAGCAGCAGCUGAAGGUCCAGGUGUGGAAGGGCCGGUCCUGGACUGGGGAUCAUGCUGCCGCAGCCCCACUGCGCCCUGUUUCUUGUGGACCAAUUUUGGUAUCUGUGCAGUUAGUCCAAAAAAACAGACACACCAAGUCUCUGAAAUCUGUGAAGUCUUGGUCUCUCUGAGCUUCAGUUUUACCAUCUGCACAAAGGGCAUCCUCAGGUAGCUGCGAAAAUCAGAGAUGAUGAAUGGGAUGCCCAUGGCACAUGCCAGGAGCAUGACAAAUGGGACCUACUACUACCAUUACUCCAAGGAGCAGACAGAAAAGGGUGCUGUGUGCCAGGGCUCCCAGAAUGGAGAGGGCGAGGUGAGCUGAGAGAUUGUUUGGAAAUCUUCUACCUCUUGGGAGCAGUAUGACUGAAGGUGGGGGCAGGGAGUGGCGCCAGAACUGACCAAGUAUGGCAUGAGGUUUCCCUCAAUCUCGAGGGGGCAUCCCAGAGGGGCAAGGAAGGCCCCUGAGUAGAGAGAGCCCAGCAACUAGCAGGUACCGGGACCCUGACUGGGCAGGUUGUGCCAAGGGACACGGGCUGAGUGUGAGGAGCCCCUAAGGGAAGAUGCAGAUCCGGAGUGAGGGGUCCGCUGGAGCUUGGUGGGCGGCCAGCUGGCAGUGCCCACUGCAGCAGAGCCAGGAGCCUGCGGCCCCCCCAACCCUUGGCCUAUACACACGUGCUGAAACUGAGACCCCAGGGGGCCGCGACGAGGUCUGCAGCACAGCAGACCGCGGACUCGGACGGACGGGCCAGCCUUGGGGCCUUGCAGAGGCCC